rnacentral:rRNA from 1 species
GGGUUUACUCAUUGGUCAGGCUUAAUUGUCUGUACUGGUGAGAUGAAUCUCUACCUUCUGACGAACCAUGAUGUCAUUUAUUUGGUGUGAUGGGAAAUCAGGACUGUUACUUUGAAAAAAUUAGAGUGUUUAAAGCAGGCUAACGUCUGAAUACAUUAGCAUGGAAUAAUGAAAUAGGACGGACUGAUUCUAUUUCGUUGGUUUCUAGGAUCACCGUA